UACGUAGGUGGCAAGCGUUGUCCGGAUUUACUGGGCGUAAAGAGCGCGCAGGCGGUCGAUCAAGUCGAGUGUGAAAGCCCCCGGCUCAACUGGGGAGGGUCAUUCGAUACUGAUCGACUUGAAGGCAGGAGAGGGAAGCGGAAUUCCCGGUGUAGUGGUGAAAUUCGUAGAUAUUGGGAAGAACACCGGUGGCGAAGGCGGCCAUCGUGGACCGCAACUGACG
rnacentral:rRNA from 1 species